GGCCGCGGUGAAGGCAGGUCAUGCGCUCCUCACGCUCCACGAACGGAACCUGCGCACGGAGGCGGUAGCGCGGGGUGGCAGCCGGCAAUGAGGCGGCCGCGCUACGUGACGAGCUACGGGUCCCCCUUUGUGAUGUUUUGGCAUCGCUCCUUCAUCGCACAUCCUCAGGUACGUCAAUUCACUUCCUUCCCUUCCCUUCGUCCCUCGGUCCCACGCUCGUAGCGCUGAAGUGGUGGCAACAGGCGAUGGCGGUGGUGUCGCUGAUGGCGGCGAGGACAGCAUGUGGCAGCUCCCGAAGCAUGAACACGACCGCACCUCGGGCCUGCCGUCUGCCAAGAUAUGGCUCUGGCCGAUUGACAAUGGAGGUUUGGGAUCCUUCCUCUCAGCACCCACUCCUGGAAGAAUCAGCGGUGCGCCACGCCGAUUGAACCCCGUCGAGAUCACUCGCCAAGAUUGCUAUUCUGAAGUUUAUUGUAAAGAAAGUGAAGAGUGAGACAGGAUCCGUUUAUUUUCAACCGGUUUAUUUUCAACCGGUUUAUUUCCAUCAAAUUACCCCCACCCCCACGCCCACCCACCGAAACGCGCCCAGCGAACCGGGGAGAGAUCCAUUGAUUUGGCUAAGGUAGGAAAGAAUCUAUUAUUUGUUUGCUAAAGCAAAUUGCAUUAAUGGGAGAGAUCCGUUGAUUUGGCUAAGGUAGGAAAGAAUC